AAGGGGUGGGCAAGUUCUGGUGUCAGCCGCCGCGGUAAAACCAGCACCUCGAGUGGUCAGGAGGUUUAUUGGGCCUAAAGCAUCCGUAGCCGGUUGCAUAAGUUUUCGGUUAAAUCUAUGCGCUUAACGUAUAGGCCGCCGAAAAUACUGUGCAGCUAGGGAGUGGGAGAGGUACACGGUACUCGAUAGGAAGGGGUAAAAUCCUUUGAUCUAUUGAUGACCACCUGUGGCGAAGGCGGUGUACCAGAACACGUUCGACGGUGAGGGAUGAAAGCUGGGGGAGCAAACCGGAUUAGAUACCCGGGUAGUCCCAGCUGUAAACGAUGCAGACUCGGUGAUGCAUUGGCUUGUGGCCAAUGCAGUGCCGCAGGGAAGCCGUUAAGUCUGCCGCCUGGGAAGUACGUACGCAAGUAUGAAACUUANNGGAAUUGGCGGGGGAGCACCACAAGGGGUGAAGCCUGCGGUUCAAUUGGAGUCAACGCCAGAAAUCUUACCUGGGGAGACAGCAGAAUGAAGGUCAAGCUGAAGACUUUACCAGACACGCUGAGAGGUGGUGCAUGGCCGUCGCCAGCUCGUGCCGUGAGAUGUCCUGUUAAGUCAGGUAACGAGCGAGACCCCUGCGUCUAGUUGCUACCAUUACUCUCUG
rnacentral:rRNA from 1 species